rnacentral:rRNA from 1 species
GUUAAACGGNNCCGCGGNNUAUCCUNGACCGUGCAAANGGUAGCAUAAUCANNCUUGUUCCUUAAUUAGGGACUAGAAUGAAUGGCUAANACGAGGGUUCAACUGUCUCUUACUUUCAAUCAGUGAAAUUGACCUUCCAGUGAAGAGGCUGGAAUCUCCCAAUAAGACGAGAAGACCCUAUGGAGCUUCAAUUUACUAGUUCAACUNUAUAUAAAAACANACCUAAUGGGCUAAAACAAAAUAAAUAUGAACUAAAAAAUUUCGGUUGGGGUGACCUCGGAGAAUAAAAAAUCCUCCGAAUGAUUUUAACCUAGACUCACAAGUCAAAGUAAUACUAANNUAUCUUAUUGACCCAANNUUAUUNNGAUCAACGGACCAAGUUACCCUAGGGAUAACAGCGCAAUCCUAUUUAAGAGUUCAUAUCGACAAUUAGGGUUUACGACCUCGAUGUUGGAUCAGGACAUCCCAAUGGUGCAGAAGCUAUUAAUGGUUCGUUUGUUCAACGAUUAAAGUCCUACGUGAUCU